rnacentral:misc_RNA from 1 species
AAGAACAUUGAGGAUGUUGAUACUAAAGAAAAAAUAAAUUAAUAUUUUAUAAUUUCUAAUUCAACCUUAACACCAAGUGGAUGGCAAAAAUUUAACUGAAGUGUUCAUCCACUACUUCCAUUCAUUCCCUAGAAUAAUUUGGCAUUUAUUUCCUCAUGCCAAACCUAGUGUCCACUAGACUAAACCCACACAACAGCAUGAAGCUAUGAAAGUCCUCUGAG